ensembl:lncRNA
GCUUUGCUCAUGAUGUGCUUCAGGCUGGUAUACUACAGUGUGCGCAAUUUAGAGAACUGCUUACCUCUAUUAAAAGUGAGAUUCAAAUUAUAUCAUACAUACAACAUAAAUUUUAGUAUAUUUCAGUCACAUACCCAGUCCAGUAUAUAUGUACAGUGGUCCCUCAUUUAUUGCGGGGGUUGCAUUCUAAAAAUAACCUGCAAUAGACGAAAUCCACAAAAGAGUCAGCUUUAUUUUUUAAAAUUAUUAUAUAUGUUUUAAGGCUGUAAAACCCCUCACCACACACUAUACACUUUCUCAGACUGGCAUUAACAUUUUCUCACAUUUCUCAUUGUUUAAUUAAUUAGUAGUGACUCAUGCGUAUUUCACAGAUCCUCUGACCGUGCCUCUCUGUCCUGGCGCCGCGCCGCUGUAGUGUCAAUCGAACAUUUUUAUGUACAUUUGUCUGAAUGCAUUCACCGCGAAAGGUGAACCGCAAUAUAACGAGGGACCACUGUAAUUCUAAAAUGUCAGGGCAGCAGAACUUGAACUUUUGCGGUAAAACUUCGAUUUUAGUCUGACACUGAAAAACAACCAGAAAUUGAUACAUAAUACAGCACAACAGGUAAUGGGAUUAAAAAAUUAUCAUGUUACUAGUAACAUAAAUGCUCGUUUGGCUUACUUUCCUCAGCAGCCAUAAGUUAUCAAAUGUUCAACAAGCACCAAAACGUCUUGAUGUGUGUUCAUUCGUUCAUGAUCUAUUCCCAUCACAGGCACUUUUGGUUUCAUUCUGAUGAUUUAGUUACAACUUUUGGUAUCACAUUCAUGUCCUACACUGACUUUCAUGUCAUCCUAUUGUGCUCAUGUUUCCUCAUGUAUUUGCCCACAGUCUUGGGAUUCUUAGUAUUUGUGCUUCUUAUAGGUUUAGACUGCAUUAGAAGGCUUCUGAUGGUAAGUGCUCGUUGAAGAUGGGAUAUAUCUUCCAAGUCAAAAGGCUUGUUCCUGCUCGCUGGGAGCUUGCAGUAUGUGUAUAACCUCCCCCUUCAGCACCUAGAAGCACAGUUGGGUCACGCUGUCUCAUCUUUAGAUUGUGUCCACUGGCUGGGUUUAGAAGAAUGACGCAUCAUCCACUGAUGAAGACUUGGAUAUGCACGCCUGAUGGCUUAUAUGGCUUUUCCUGCAUUUUGAUAAUACCCAAGUGUUCCUUACUUUCUGCUGAAAAGCUAAUAUGAAAGUGGAAAGAUCUACACUGAACUGGUUAGGCACACUUGUAAUGUGCACUGCCUCAUACCAAGUAAUUAGAAACAAAAUAAACUUCUUUCUUGUACUUCACUUCUCUGACUUAAACCCACAGUAAAUUAAAACGUGCAGUUUUAUUUUACCUUGCAUUUUUUUCCUUUAGCUCACUCCUAUUCCUGUAAAGUGAGUUGAGUUUAUAAGAUUGCAACUUUUAUUACUC